rnacentral:rRNA from 1 species
AUUGAACGCUGGCGGCAGGCCUAACACAUGCAAGUCGAGCGAGCGGCGGACGGGUGAGUAAUGUCUGGGAAACUGCCUGAUGGAGGGGGAUAACUACUGGAAACGGUAGCUAAUACCGCAUACCAUCAGAUGUGCCCAGAUGGGAUUAGCUAGUAGGUGGGGUAAUGGCUCACCUAGGCGCCGAUCCCUAGCUGGUCUGAGAGGAUGACAAGAGACACGGGAACGGAGACACGGUCCAGACUCCUAAGGGAGGAAGCAGUGGGGAAUAUUGGACAAGGGGCGAAAGCCUGAGGCAGACAUGCCGCGUGUGUGAAGAAGGCGUUCGGGUUGGAAAGAACGUUCAGCGGGGAGGCGUUACCCGCAGAAGAAGCACCGGCUAACUCCGUGCCAGCAGCCGCGGUAAUUC